ensembl:snoRNA Gm24163 predicted gene, 24163
CCCUGAAUUCAAGAGUGAUUUUGUAAUACCUAUGCCCUGCUCAUUGUUACUAUAGGGAGAGGAUGCCAAAAGCCUUUCUGUGUUUUGAAGAUCCAUUCCUGUUCUUGCUAAACCCUGGUGCGUUUGAACA